rnacentral:rRNA from 1 species
GACGAACGCUGGCGGCGUGCUUAACACAUGCAAGUCGAACGGAAAGGCCCUGCUUUUGUGGGGUGCUCGAGUGGCGAACGGGUGAGUAACACGCGAGUAACCUGCCCUUGACUUUGGGAUAACUUCAGGAAACUGGGGCUAAUACCGGAUAGGAGCUCCUGCUGCAUGGUGGGGGUUGGAAAGUUUCGGCGGUUGGGGAUGGACUCGCGGCUUAUCAGCUUGUUGGUGGGGUAGUGGCUUACCAAGGCUUUGACGGGUAGCCGGCCUGAGAGGGUGACCGGCCACAUUGGGACUGAGAUACGGGCCAGAAGCCUACGGGAGGCAGCAGUGGGGAAUAUUGCACAAUGGGCGGAAGCCUGAUGCAGCAACGCCGCGUGCGGGAUGACGGCCUUCGGGUUGUAAACCGCUUUCGCCUGUGACGAAGCGUGAGUGACGGUAAUGGGUAAAGAAGCACCGGCUAACUACGUG